rnacentral:rRNA from 1 species
ACGAACGCUGGCGGCAUGCCUAACACAUGCAAGUCGAACGAUUGCCUUCGGGUGAUAGUGGCGCACGGGUGCGUAACGCGUGGGAAUCUGCCCUUAGGUUCGGAAUAACAGCUGGAAACGUCUGCUAAUACCGGAUGAUAUCGCGAGAUCAAAGAUUUAUCGCCUGAGGAUGAGCCCGCGUUGGAUUAGGUAGUUGGUGGGGUAAAGGCCUACCAAGCCGACGAUCCAUAGCUGGUCUGAGAGGAUGAUCAGCCACACUGGGACUGAGACACGGCCCAGACUCCUACGGGAGGCAGCAGUGGGGAAUAUUGGACAAUGGGCGCAAGCCUGAUCCAGCAAUGCCGCGUGAGUGAUGAAGGCCCUAGGGUUGUAAAGCUCUUUUACCCGGGAAGAUAAUGACUGUACCGGGAGAAUAAGCCCCGGCUAACUCCGUG